rnacentral:tRNA from 1 species
GGAGCGGCUUCCGGUCCGGUGACCGGCGCGGUCUUCAAAACCGUCUGCGGGGCGGCGAUCCCGUCCUGGGUGGGUUCGACUCCCAUGUCGCUCCGCCA